UACGUAGGGGGGCUAGCGUUGUCCGGAUUUAUUGGGCGUAAAGAGCGUGUAGGCGGCCAGGUAGGUCUGCUGUGAAAACUCGAGGCUCAACCUCGAGACGUCGAUGGAAACCAUCUGGCUAGAGUCCGGAAGAGGAGAGUGGAAUUCCUGGUGUAGCGGUGAAAUGCGUAGAUAUCAGGAAGGAACACCCGGUGGCGAAGGCGCUCAUCUGGCCCAAUACUGACGUGAUGCGCGAAAGCUAGGGGAGCAAACGGG
rnacentral:rRNA from 1 species